UGUUAGCACACAUGAUGCCAAUUGUUGGGUCUUCUACAAGGAGAAAGACCAACUGUUACUUGUGGUCUUAAGGUGGCUCCUAACCUUUGCCUGUGAAGAAGCCUCAGCUAGUGCAAACUGGCUGAGAUCUCUGAACCUCAGUUUUAGCACUUGACUCUGAUUUACUCUGUUCUGACCCGGAUGCCUUUUGCUGCUCCACCUCUCCCUUGCAUAGUUAAAAGGGCAGAUGUGCUCUUUUGCUGUAAAGCUCUUCUUCUAUAAGUGUUGUCCUGAAGCAAAGAGUUUGUAAUACAGAGAAGUGCUAGGCAUCCAGAGGCAUAAAACAGAACAAACAGGCUUCCUGCUUCGGUAGCUUGUAUUAUAGUUAUACAGUACUUCGAGGGACUUGGAAGCAUCAGUACUUGGAAGCAGCUACCUCCCUGGCACUGUAAGCAAAUAAACUGUAUUUGUGCAUCAAUCUGCAACCUGCACUUCAAGAAACAUUUCCUCCUCUGCUGACAGACACUUAGAAAGACUCAGUUAUGGACUGAGUGAAGAGAGCACUGACAGAAGGAGGAAACUCACCUUUUUUUCCUCCAUGCAUUAAAUUCAAACCAAUUGGAGGAGGGCUUUUUCUUUGUCUAGCCAUUAGCACUUUGAAUGGUUCUGCUGCUGUAUUGAACCACCAUUGUCUGCA